rnacentral:misc_RNA from 1 species
UCCGAUUUGUCACCGGCAGUCUCCCAUGAGUCCCCGACAUUACUCGCUGGCAACAUGGGACAGGGGUUGCGCUCGUUGCGGGACUUAACCCAACAUCUCACGACACGAGCUGACGACAACCAUGCACCACCUGUCACUCUGUCCCCCGAAGGGGAAAGCCCUAUCUCUAGGGUUGUCAGAGGAUGUCAAGACCUGGUAAGGUUCUUCGCGUUGCUUCGAAUUAAACCACAUCCUCCACCGCUUGUGUGAGCCCCCGUCAAUUCCUUUGAGUUUCAGCCUUGCGGCCAUACUCCCCAGGCGGAGCACUUAAUGCUUUCGCUACGGCCGAGAAGAUGUGGAAGUCCCCUCAACCUAGUGCUCAUCGUUUACAGCUAGGACUAC